UACGUAGGGUGCAAGCGUUGUCCGGAAUUAUUGGGCGUAAAGAGCUUGUAGGCGGUUUGUCGCGUCUGCUGUGAAAUUUCGGGGCUCAACCCCGAACUUGCAGUGGGUACGGGCAGACUAGAGUGUGGUAGGGGAGACUGGAAUUCCUGGUGUAGCGGUGAAGUGCGCAGAUAUCAGGAGGAACACCGGUGGCGAAGGCGGGUCUCUGGGCCGUAACUGACGCUGAGGAGCGAAAGCAUGGGGAGCGAACAGG
rnacentral:rRNA from 1 species